CGAUAUAGCAAGGGCCGGGCAAGACCGGUUCCAGCCCCCGCGGUAACUCCGGCGGCUCGAGUGGUACCCGCUAUUAUUGGGUCUAAAGGGUCUGUAGCCGGCCUGGUAAGUCUCUUGGGAAAUAAAGACAAGCUUAACUGUCGGGCUGUCAGGAGAUACUGCCAGGCUCGAGGCCGGGAGAGGUGAGAGGUACCUCAUGGGUAGGGGUGAAAUCUUGUAAUCCUUGAGGGACCCCCAGUGGCGAAGGCGUCUCACCAGAACGGCCCCGACGGCAAGGGACGAAAGCUAGGGGCACGAACCGGAUUUAGAUACCCGGGGUAGUCCUAGCCGUAAACGAUCCUCCCUCUCUCUCGUACUGCUAACGGUGCGACCGUGGUCGGUGCCGUAGGGAAGCCGUGAAGAGAGGGAUGUCUUGGUACGGCCGCAAGGCUGAAACUUGAAGUAGGUUUCUCGAAGAGCACUACAACGGGUGGGAAACUCCGGUUUAAUUGGAUUCAACAGCCGGAAAGGCGAAUUCUGG
rnacentral:rRNA from 1 species